rnacentral:rRNA from 1 species
AACGAGCGCUGGCGGCAGGCUUAACACAUGCAAGUCGAGGGGUAGAACACUUCGGUGUUUGAGACCGGCGCACGGGUGCGUAACGCGUAUGCAAUCUACCUUGUACAGGGGAAUAGCCCAGAGAAAUUUGGAUUAAUGCCCCAUAGUAUAUAACCUUCGCAUGUUGGUUAUAUUAAAGUUCCAACGGUACACGAUGAACAUGCGCCCCAUUAGUUAGUUGGUAAGGUAACGGCUUACCAAGACGAUGAUGGGUAGGGGUCCUGAGAGGGAGAUCCCACACACUGGUACUGAGACACGGACCAGACUCCUACGGGAGGCAGCAGUGAGGAAUAUUGGUCAAUGGGCGCAAGCCUGAACCAGCCAUGCCGCGUGCAGGAAGACGGUCCUAUGGAUUGUAAACUGCUUUUAUACAGGAAGAAACCCUCCGACGUGUGGGAGAUUGACGGUACUGUAGGAAUAAGGAUCGGCUAACUCCGUGCCAGCAGCCGCGGUAAAAC